rnacentral:rRNA from 1 species
GGGAUGAACGCUAGCGGCAGGCCUAAUACAUGCAAGUCGAACGGGGUGUUGCAGCAAUGUAGCACUUAGUGGCGCACGGGUGCGUAACGCGUAUGCAACCUACCCCUUACUGGGGCAUAGCCUUCCGAAAGGGAGAUUAACACCGCAUAAGAUAGCCGGAUGGCAUCAUCUGGUUAUUAAAUCUACGGAGGUAAGGGAUGGGCAUGCGUCAGAUUAGCUAGUUGGCGGGGUAGUGGCCCACCAAGGCCACGAUC